rnacentral:misc_RNA from 1 species
CCAGUUUAGGGUACCCCGUGCCCAAACUUCAACCCUUUGACUUAAAUCAAGCUGUUUCUUUGCCGGUCUCGGCCGGCAGAAGUUUUCUCAAACCCACCAGAAAUCUGUCUCUGAACUUCAAUCAAUAAUAAAUUA